GUCUCUUCUUUCUUCCCAUGUUCUUCAUCUUCUUCUUUUUCUUAUUCUGCUUCUCGCCUCUGGCGAUUCCGAGAAUUAAUUUGAGAGAAUGAAUUUAUGAAGAUUGUUCAGUCCUUAAAGGUGAAGGUGUUCUGGUUAAUUAAGAAGGAGGAGAGUUAUGGGUUUCUGUUUGAGGUGAUGCAGAGAGAAUCGAUUUAAGGUUCCAGAGUUGUUUGAGAUUUUAUUGAAUUGAUCCGUGUUUUGAGUAGAAGAUGGAUGAAGAAUGAGAGGGUUGGUGUUUAAUUGAAGUUUUGAAGUUGAGUUGUUGAAGAAUUAUAGAGUUAGGGUUCUGUGAAGAAGGAGAUGAGAGGAAAUAGGGUUUUGAGUUCGAUUUUAGGCUUGCAUGAGAUUGAGAGGAUGAAAUUGAUGUUCUAAGAUGUCGAAUUGAGAUGCAUUACGAGUGAUUGGAGGGAUUGAAGAGGAGUUACAGAUGCAGUUAUGUCCCGGAGGAUGAAAUUGAAGAGGGUGAUUGAUCAAUUAGGGUUACAGUAGAAUUGCUUUGGUGAGCCAGCAAUUGAGAAGAUGUCACUGUUUGGGUAAGCUCUUAAUUGUUUAAUUUUGGUACUUUUGAGUUGAAUUGCUAAGAUUCAUUGAAGUUUUAUGCUUGUGAUUGAAUCUGAGUUUGGGAUGAUUAAGUAACGAAACAAUGAUUGUAUUUAGAAGUGAUGUUUUAGUAAAGCGAUUGUUGAGUUUGAAGUAGAGGUGAUAUUGGUGUGUACAGAGAAGGAUUGGGUUUGUGCUUACUCUAGUUGUUCCAGAGAAUGAUGUUGUUGGUAGUGCAGGUGGUGCUGCUUUUAGAAAUAUGUGAGAUUGUUGUUGCAGGAAGGGUGUUGGUGGAAUAUUAUAUUGGUGGUGUUGAGAUUGAAUGAACUGAACUGGUGUAUUUUUGAUGUGUGAAGUGAGUGUUGAAUUAAGAUAAAGAAGGAAGCAGAGUCAAUUGCUUAAAUGGAACCGUUUGAGGUAAUUGCUUUCUAAGAAUCUAACUCAGUUAUUCAGUUUCAUUGUUUGAUUAUGUGUGAUUAUUAAUGGACUCACAAUUGAGUUAGAUGAAAGGGGAUAUAUGUGUGAAACAUAAUUUGUUGGUAGUGGUUGUGUAAGAUACAAGAUUUGGAAAUUAAUGAGCUGUUAUAGAAUUGGUUUUGUGGUCAAUGAGGAUUUAGUGAUGCAGUGAAAUUGAGUUACAUAUUAUUAUGUACUGCAUUCUGGGUUGCAGUUGUCGAAGUAUGAUUGUGCUGGUGAACUUCUUUGUAAGAAAGUUGUGUAUGGAGUAAGUUUAUAUAAAUGAAUUGUUGCAGAUAUUAGUGGUGGUUUUGUAUGUGGGGUGUGUAUGGAUGAAAGGGUGGAAUUCUUGAGUACUGAAGUUAUGUAGAAUAGAGUGUUGAUGCUAUGCUUGUAGUUAGUAGUAGUUUUAGUUGAAUCUUGAUGUUGCAGGGGAGAUGCAAGUGCAGAGCAUGGAUGUUGGAGUUAUACUUGAGAUGAGAUGGGUAGUGAGUGAUCUUGUGUAAGAAGAAUGAGAUAGUAAAGAUGUAGAUAGUGAUAACUGCAUGGUUGUAGAUGGCAGCUUCAGUGAAGGCGUGCAUCUGAUGUUGCAGUUAGUCUAUAUUAACAACGAUCGAUUCAAAGGAGGAACCAGUGGAUCGUGGAUCUCGAGGUAGGCGUGGCUUGUCGUCAAAAGAGGUGGGAAUACAUUUGACUCUUUUGUAACUAUUGUUGUUUCAUUUACGAAAGUCUUUGUUUAAUAAAAUCAUGCAUUGUCUAGUUGUGCACUCCAUGCUUUAUUUAAAUUGCAUUAUGAUUAUUCUGUUAGUUCUGUUAAUCUUUCCAUGGUUUGGAAAGGAAUUGUAAUGUUUUGUUGUCGUCAUGAAUUAUUAUGGGAAAUAAGAAUUUCCA